GAACAAUUCUGGGUCAGAGUUUUUGACUAUGAGAUGGCAACCCCAUGACUUUACUUGAUGCCCAGUCCUUCUACUGGAGGCCUCGGUCCUCCUCGACCCACGGAAUAACUAGGCCCUGCUGGGUGGGACAUCAGACCCCAAAGAACAUGAAUGGCCUGGAAGUUUCUGCUGGAUUGUCCCACUGCUGCUGAUUCAUGUUCAUUAUCCUACCACUACUGAACUGGACUGCUGGUAUCCUAACAGAGAUUGGAGAUGUCUUAAGGAACUACUUCUAAACAGGCUUCCCUGAGCUCUGCCUAGUGUUUGACUCUGGCUCUCUGCAUCUGCUUCUGAAGUCCAGAUUCUGAGCUAACAAGCCUGGUCCUGGUCCUCCAGGCAGCGUCAGAGUGCUGUCAUCUGUUAGGUGGUUAUCGCAUUCGGACAGAGACUUCCUAAAGCAGUUAUUGUGGUUCAUAGUAGGCUCCCUUCCUUAUGGGAAGAGAAACUUCAAGUCUCCAGUCUAUGAGGACAGACUUCAGACUGAAGGAUACAUAUGAAAUGGAGAAAAUGGACUGUCUUUUUUUAUAGUUAUUGUAUUGUA